GAACGCACAUUGCGCCCGCUAGUAUUCUGGCGGGCAUGCCUGUUCGAGCGUCAUUUCAACCAUCAAGCCCCAGGCUUGCGUUGGAGCCCUGCGGCUGCCGCGGGCUCUCAAAUCCAGUGGCGGGCUCGUCGUCGUACCGAGUGCAGUAAACAUCCUCGCUCAGGGAACGCGUCGGGUUCUUGCCGUGAAACCCCCCCCACAUCAAGGUUGACCUCGGAUCAGGUAGGAAUACCCGCUGAACUUAAG
rnacentral:misc_RNA from 1 species